rnacentral:rRNA from 1 species
GGCAGGCCUAACACAUGCAAGUCGAGCGGUAGCACAGAGAGCUUGCUCUCGGGUGACGAGCGGCGGACGGGUGAGUAAUGUCUGGGAAACUGCCUGAUGGAGGGGGAUAACUACUGGAAACGGUAGCUAAUACCGCAUAAUGUCGCAAGACCAAAGUGGGGGACCUUCGGGCCUCAUGCCAUCAGAUGUGCCCAGAUGGGAUUAGCUAGUAGGUGGGGUAACGGCUCACCUAGGCGACGAUCCCUAGCUGGUCUGAGAGGAUGACCAGCCACACUGGAACUGAGACACGGUCCAGACUCCUACGGGAGGCAGCAGUGGGGAAUAUUGCACAAUGGGCGCAAGCCUGAUGCAGCCAUGCCGCGUGUGUGAAGAAGGCCUUCGGGUUGUAAAGCACUUUCAGCGGGGAGGAAGGCGUUAAGGUUAAUAACCUUGGCGAUUGACGUUACCCGCAGAAGAAGCACCGGCUAACUCCGUGCCAGCAGCCGCGGUAAUACGGAGGGUGCAAGCGUUAAUCGGAAUUACUGGGCGUAAAGCGCACGCAGGCGGUUGAUUAAGUCAGAUGUGAAAUCCCCGAGCUUAACUUGGGAACUGCAUUUGAAACUGGUCAGCUAGAGUCUUGUAGAGGGGGGUAGAAUUCCAGGUGUAGCGGUGAAAUGCGUAGAGAUCUGGAGGAAUACCGGUGGCGAAGGCGGCCCCCUGGACAAAGACUGACGCUCAGGUGCGAAAGCGUGGGGAGCAAACAGGAUUAGAUACCCUGGUAGUCCACGCCGUAAACGAUGUCGAUUUGGAGGUUGUGCCCUUGAGGCGUGGCUUCCGGAGCUAACGCGUUAAAUCGACCGCCUGGGGAGUACGGCCGCAAGGUUAAAACUCAAAUGAAUUGACGGGGGCCCGCACAAGCGGUGGAGCAUGUGGUUUAAUUCGAUGCAACGCGAAGAACCUUACCUGGUCUUGACAUCCACAGAACUUUCCAGAGAUGGAUUGGUGCCUUCGGGAACUGUGAGACAGGUGCUGCAUGGCUGUCGUCAGCUCGUGUUGUGAAAUGUUGGGUUAAGUCCCGCAACGAGCGCAACCCUUAUCCUUUGUUGCCAGCGGUUAGGCUGGGAACUCAAAGGAGACUGCCAGUGAUAAACUGGAGGAAGGUGGGGAUGACGUCAAGUCAUCAUGGCCCUUACGACCAGGGCUACACACGUGCUACAAUGGCAUAUACAAAGAGAAGCGACCUCGCGAGAGCAAGCGGACCUCAUAAAGUAUGUCGUAGUCCGGAUUGGAGUCUGCAACUCGACUCCAUGAAGUCGGAAUCGCUAGUAAUCGUAGAUCAGAAUGCUACGGUGAAUACGUUCCCGGGCCUUGUACACACCGCCCGUCACACCAUGGGAGUGGGUUGCAAAAGAAGUAGGUAGCUUAACCUUCGGGAGGGCGCUUACCACUUUGUGAUUCAUGACUGGGGUG